AGCGAACGCUGGCGGCAGGCCUAACACAUGCAAGUCGAGCGAGGACUUCGGUCCUAGCGGCGGACGGGUGAGUAACGCGUGGGAACGUGCCCUUUGCUUCGGAAUAGCCCUGGGAAACUGGGAGUAAUACCGGAUGAGCCCUUUGGGGGAAAGAUUUAUCGGCGAAGGAUCGGCCCGCGUUGGAUUAGGUAGUUGGUGGGGUAAUGGCCUACCAAGCCGACGAUCCAUAGCUGGUUUGAGAGGAUGAUCAGCCACACUGGGACUGAGACACGGCCCAGACUCCUACGGGAGGCAGCAGUGGGGAAUCUUAGACAAUGGGGGAAACCCUGAUCGAGCCAUGCCGCGUGAGCGAUGAAGGCCUUAGGGUUGUAAAGCUCUUUCAGCUGGGAAGAUAAUGACGGUACCAGCAGAAGAAGCCCCGGCUAACUCCGUG
rnacentral:rRNA from 1 species